UGAACCAUGGAGCCAGUGAUGCCUCAUGAUCUUAAAGGCUUCAGUGUGUAAUUUCUACAAACAAGGACAUUCUUUUACUUAACCACAACACAGUGAUCAAAACCAGGAAAUUAACACUGAUAUAUUACCAUCUAACCCACGGACCCCGUUCAAGUUGCCAGUUGUCCCAUCAAUGUCCUUCAUAGUCAAGUGCUCACAUUGCAUUUCGUUAUGUCUCUUUAGUCUCCAUCACUCUUAAAAGUUUCUUUCUUGACUUUAAUUACUUUAACAUUUUUGAAUACUUCAGGUCAGUUAUUUUGUAGACUGUUCCUCAAAGAACAGGGUUCUUUGGGUUUGCCUGAUGUUUCCUUUUUAUUAGAUUCAGAUUGUACCUUUUUGGCAAGAACACCACAAAAAAGAGAUUGUCUUCUUGCAUCUUAUCAGGUGUCACACAGUUUUGAUUUGUCCAGUUGCUGGUUGGGGCUUUGGUCAAUUGAUUAGGUAUUAUCACUAGGCUUCUCCACUUUUACGGUUAUUCUUUUUUCCCCUUUUAAUUAAUAAGUAUCUUGUAGAGAGAUCAUCCAACUUUCACUCACUAGUUUUAGCAUCCAUUGAAGAUUUUCACCUGAAUCAAUCAGUACCACAAUGAUUGCCAAAUGCAGAUUUUCUAAUUCCAUCAUUCCAUUUACAUUAGUUGGUUGGCAUUACCCUAAAAGGUAGAGCUUUCCCUUCUCUCCAAUUUAUUCAUUGAUUUAUAUCAUGUGGACUUGUGGCUUAUUUUAUUUGAGAAGUUGUAAGUUGUUCAUUUGGCCAGUGGCGGCCCCUUCAAGCUGGCUUCUGUGUCCUUUGGUAUGUCCCCAUCAUUCUUGGAGCAUGUUCUUACUUUCUAAUACAAAAAGACACUCCAUGCUCAUCUUUGUAUUUCCUCUGCACUAACUCUGCAAGAGGCUUUUUCUCUAAGAUCUGGUCUCUUUUAGCAGAAAAUCGUAUUUAGAAACCAAGAUCUGAGCAGUAGGUAUGCUCAUUGUUUGGUGCCAUUGCUGUUCCCAAGCCCUCUCAUGGAGGAACAAAGCUAGGGAACAAACAUGAAUGCAUGUGCAUGCACACACACACACACCCCACUCAUACACACACACCUGUACAUCUCUGUAUCUACACAUACUGAAAGCUGUAAGAGUUUAUACCAGUACUUCCAAUUCCAACCUUAUUCUAUUUCCAAAUUUGUAAUUCUCUUCUCUGACUAUAAGAAAUCUGGCUCCUGCUCUUUCCCUGCUGCCACCGAGUUGUAUAGAGGUGGAGUCUCGGGUGCAUUCAAGAUUCGGCUUUACUUGUAACCCACUGCCAUGGCCGAGGAAGGCAGUGCUGCUGGAGGUAUAAUGGACAUUAAUACUGUUUUACAGGAGGUGCUGAAGACUGCCCUCAUCCAUGAUGGCCUAGCAUGUGAAAUUUGCAAAGCUGCCAAAGCCUCAGACAAGUGCCAAGCCCAUCUUUGUGUGCUGUGUGUGCUUGCAUCCAACUGUGAUGAGCCUAUGUAUGUCAAGUUGGUGGAGGCCCUUUGUGCUGAACACCAAAUCAACCUAAUUAAGGUUGAUGACAAGAAACUAGAGGAAUGGGUAGGCCUCUGUAAAAUUGACAGAGAGGGGAAACCCCGUAAAGUGGUUGGUUGAAGUUGUGUAGUAGUUAAGAACUAUGGCAAGGAGUCUCAGGCCAAGGAUGUCAUUGAAGAGUACUUCAAAUGCAAGAAAUGAACAAAUAAAUCUUUGGCACACACACACACACACACACAUACAAAAGAAAGAAAAAAGAAAUUUGGCUCAGUCCUCCUCAAAAAUAAACAAUCUAUUGCUGCCUCAAUUCACAGUCCCCUCCCUGCUGCCCUCAGACGUUCUCCUCAGGCUCCACACUGCAGCCCUACACUAGGCCACUACCACUGCCCCCUGUGGUAACAUCUUUCUGCACUUUGUACAGAACAAGCAAAUGGCUUUUGUCCUGAAUUAUUCAGGAAGGGAGGGAGACAGGUGGGAAAGAAGUCAGGAAGGCAGAAAAUAAAAAUCUUUUGAUACCACAGAAAUACAAAGGAUCAAAAGAGACUAUUAGGAACAAUUAUAUGCCAACAAAUCGGAUUACCCUAGAAGUGGACAGAUUUCCAGAUGCAUACAACCUACCAAGAAUGAAUCAUAAACAGAAAAUCUAAACAGACCAAUAAAAGCAAAUAAGGGUCACCGUUACUCUGAGGAGAGGCCAGUAGGUAGAGAAGCAGUAAAACUUUUAACUUGGAGCAAAACCACACUCUAGGGAAACAUUAUUAGCAUCACCA